UGAGCGGUAUUGUAAAGCCUGGAUGACUCUGGUCACUCGUAGAGUGUCCUAGCUGUUCCUGAAAUGGAACGGGAACCGAAAGUAGACUGAAAUCCGAGCCCAGGGUGAGCCGCUCA
rnacentral:ncRNA from 1 species